rnacentral:rRNA from 1 species
UACGUAGGGGGCAAGCGUUGUCCGGAAUCAUUGGGCGUAAAGAGCGCGUAGGCGGCCCUGUAAGUCCGCUGUGAAAGUCAAGGGCUCAACCCUUGGAUGCCGGUGGAUACUGCAGGGCUAGAGUCCGGAAGAGGCGAGUGGAAUUCCUGGUGUAGCGGUGAAAUGCGCAGAUAUCAGGAGGAACACCGAUGGCGAAGGCGGGUCUCUGGGCAACAACUGACGCUGAGGAGCGAAAGCGUGGGGAGCGAACAGG